UCAAACUACAAAGCGAACAAACUAUCAUGAUCAGCUACCCUGACUCAAUUAAUACAAGCUAGUACUGUUUAUUCCUUCUUCCUGGAAUCCUUCUGUUGCCCUCUCUUUCGAAUACCAAGGCAAAAGCGGAGUCGCCAUGCAUCAAUAAUGGAUUCUGGCAGUGCAUAUAGCAAACCCCAAAGAAGAGAAUGGGGCCAGUAAGGCGUGCAACGAGGUUCAUAU
rnacentral:misc_RNA from 1 species